CCGGCAACGCCGCGUGAAGGAUGAAGUAUUUCGGUAUGUAAACUUCGAAAGAAUGGGAAGAAUAAAUGACGGUACCAUUUAUAAGGUCCGGCUAACUACGUGCCAGCAGCCGCGGUAAUACGUAGGGACCAAGCGUUGUUCGGAUUUACUGGGCGUAAAGGGCGCGUAGGCGGCGCGGUAAGUCACUUGUGAAAUCUCUGAGCUUAACUCAGAACGGCCAAGUGAUACUGCAGUGCUAGAGUGUGGAAGGGGCAAUCGGAAUUCUUGGUGUAGCGGUGAAAUGCGUAGAUAUCAAGAGGAACACCUGAGGUGAAGACGGGUUGCUGGGCCAACACUGACGCUGAGGCGCGAAAGCCAGGGGAGCAAACGGGAUUAGAUACCCCGGUAGUCCUGGCCCUAAACGAUGAAUACUUGGUGUCUGGAGUUUUAAUGCUCCGGGUGCCGUCGCUAACGUUUUUAGUAUUCCGCCUGGGGAGUACGCUCGCAAGAGUGGAACUCAAAGGAAUUGACGGGGACCCGCACAAGCGGUGGAGCAUGUGGUUUAAUUCGACGCAACGCGAAGAACCUUACCUGGACUAGAAUGUGAGGGAAUGUCGGGUAAUGCCGGCAGUCCGGGAAACCGGACCCAAAACAAGGUGCUGCAUGGCUGUCGUCAGCUCGUGUCGUGAGAUGUUGGGUUAAGUCCCGCAACGAGCGCAACCCUUAUCAACAGUUGCCAUCAUUAAGUUGGGAACUCUGUUGAGACUGCCGUUGAUAAAACGGAGGUAGGUGGGGAUGAUGUCAAGUCAUCAUGGCCUUUAUGUUCAGGGCUACACACGUGCUACAAUGGAUGGUACAAAACGUCGCAAUCUCGUAAGAGGGAGCUAAUCGCGAAAACCAUUCUCAGUUCGGAUUGAAGUCUGCAACUCGACUUCAUGAAGUUGGAAUCGCUAGU
rnacentral:rRNA from 1 species